CCUACGGGAGGCAGCAGUGGGGAAUAUUGGGCAAUGGAGGAAACUCUGACCCAGCAACGCCGCGUGAAUGAUGAAGGUCCUCGGAGUGUAAAGUUCUUUUCUAAGGGAAGAAGAAAGUGACGGUACCUUAGGAAUAAGCCUCGGCUAACUAUGUGCCAGCAGCCGCGGUAAUACGUAGGAGGCAAGCGUUAUCCGGAAUGACUGGGCGUAAAGGGUGCGUAGGUGGUUUGACAAGUUAGUAGCGUAACUCCGAGGCUUAACCUCGGCACUACUACCAAAACUGUUGGACUCGAGUGCAGGAGGGGCAAAUGGAAUUCCUAGUGUAGCGGUGGAAUGCGUAGAUAUUAGGAGGAACACCAAUGGCGAAGGCGAUUUGCUGGACUGUAACUGACACUGAGGCACGAAAGCGUGGGGAGCAAACAGGAUUAGAUACCCUUGUAGUC
rnacentral:rRNA from 1 species